CAAACGACUCUCGGCAACGGAUAUCUCGGCUCUUGCAUCGAUGAAGAACGUAGCGAAAUGCGAUACUUGGUGUGAAUUGCAGAAUCCCGUGAACCAUCGAGUCUUUGAACGCAAGUUGCGCCCGAUGCCAUUAGGCUGAAGGCACGUCUGCCUGGGCGUCACGCAU
rnacentral:rRNA from 1 species